UACGUAGGGGGCAAGCGUUGUCCGGAAUCAUUGGGCGUAAAGAGCGUGUAGGCGGCCCGGUAAGUCCGCUGUGAAAGUCCAGGGCUCAACCCUGGGAUGCCGGUGGAUACUGUCGGGCUCGAGUCAGGAAGAGGAGUGUGGAAUUCCUGGUGUAGCGGUGAAAUGCGCAGAUAUCAGGAGGAACACCAAUGGCGAAGGCAGCACUCUGGGACGUGACUGACGCUGAGACGCGAAAGCGUGGGGAGCAAACAGG
rnacentral:rRNA from 1 species